GUUUGAUCAUGGCUCAGAUUGAAUGCUGGCGGCAUGCUUUACACAUGCAAGUCGAACGGCAGCACGGGUGCUUGCACCUGGUGGCGAGUGGCGAACGGGUGAGUAAUGCGUCGGAACGUACCGAGUAAUGGGGGAUAACGCAGCGAAAGUUGUGCUAAUACCGCAUACGCCCUGAGGGGGAAAGUGGGGGAUCGCAAGACCUCACGUUAUUCGAGCGGCCGACGUCUGAUUAGCUAGUCGGUGGGGUAAUGGCUCACCAAGGCGACGAUCAGUAGCGGGUCUGAGAGGAUGAUCCGCCACACUGGGACUGAGACACGGCCCAGACUCCUACGGGAGGCAGCAGUGGGGAAUUUUGGACAAUGGGGGCAACCCUGGUCCAGCCAUUCCGCGUGAGUGAAGAAGGCCUUCGGGUUGUAAAGCUCUUUCAGCUGGAAAGAAACGGUAGGGGCUAAUACCCUUUGCUAAUGACGGUACCAGCAGAAGAAGCACCGGCUAACUACGUGCCAGCAGCCGCGGUAAUACGUAGGGUGCGAGCGUUAAUCGGAAUUACUGGGCGUAAAGCGUGCGCAGGCGGAUUGUUAAGCAAGACGUGAAAUCCCCGAGCUUAACCUGGGAAUGGCGUUUUGAACUGGCAGUCUAGAGUGUGUCAGAGGGGGGUGGAAUUCCACGUGUAGCAGUGAAAUGCGUAGAGAUGUGGAGGAACACCAAUGGCGAAGGCAGCCCCCUGGGAUAACACUGACGCUCAUGUACGAAAGCGGGGGUAGCAAACAGGAUUAGAUCCCCUGGUAGUCCACGCCCUAAACGAUGUCAACUGGUUGUUGGGGGAGUGAAAUCCCUUAGUAACGAAGCUAACGCGUGAAGUUGACCGCCUGGGGAGUAC
rnacentral:rRNA from 1 species